rnacentral:rRNA from 1 species
UACGAAGGGGGCUAGCGUUGUUCGGAUUUACUGGGCGUAAAGCGCACGUAGGCGGAUCUUUAAGUCAGAGGUGAAAUCCCAAGGCUCAACCUUGGAACUGCCUUUGAUACUGGGGAUCUUGAGUCCGGGAGAGGUGAGUGGAACUGCGAGUGUAGAGGUGAAAUUCGUAGAUAUUCGCAAGAACACCAGUGGCGAAGGCGGCUCACUGGCCCGGUACUGACGCUGAGGUGCGAAAGCGUGGGGAGCGAACGGA